rnacentral:rRNA from 1 species
AUUGAACGCUGGCGGAAUGCUUUACACAUGCAAGUCGAACGGCAGCACGGGGGCAGCCCUGGUGGCGAGUGGCGAACGGGUGAGUAAUACAUCGGAACGUGCCCGGUCGUGGGGGAUAACGUAGCGAAAGUUACGCUAAUACCGCAUACGAUCUGAGGAUGAAAGCGGGGGACCUUCGGGCCUCGCGCGAUCGGAGCGGCCGAUGUCAGAUUAGGUAGUUGGUGGGGUAAAGGCCUACCAAGCCGACGAUCUGUAGCUGGUCUGAGAGGACGACCAGCCACACUGGGACUGAGACACGGCCCAGACUCCUACGGGAGGCAGCAGUGGGGAAUUUUGGACAAUGGGCGCAAGCCUGAUCCAGCCAUUCCGCGUGCAGGACGAAGGCCUUCGGGUUGUAAACUGCUUUUGUACGGAACGAAAAGGCUCUGGCUAAUACCUGGGGCUCAUGACGGUGCCGUAAGAAUAAGCACCGGCUAACUACGUG